rnacentral:tRNA from 1 species
GGCUCGGUAGCUUAGAUGAAAAAGCACUUGUCUAGCGAAUAAGGGUCGUGAAUUCAAAUCUCACCUGAGCUG